rnacentral:tRNA from 1 species
GGGAGUGUAGUGUAGUGGCAACACGGGUGGCUCCAGACCACCAGCUGGGGGUUCGAUUCCUUCCACUCCCGCCA